GACCGCGUAGCUCAGUUGGAAGAGCAUUGGGCUAGUAUUCCAAAGGUCGUAGGUUCGAAUCCCGCCGUGACCA